UGGGGAAUAUUGCACAAUGGAGGGAACUCUGAUGCAGCGACGCCGCGUGAACGAAGAAGGCUUUCGAGUCGUAAAGUUCUUUUAUAUGGGAAGAUAAUGACGGUAUCAUAAGAAAAAGCCCCGGCUAACUACGUGCCAGCAGCCGCGGUAAUACGUAGGGGGCUAGCGUUGUCCGGAAUCACUGGGCGUAAAGGGUUCGCAGGCGGAAAUGCAAGUCAGGUGUAAAAGGCAGUAGCUUAACUACUGUAAGCAUUUGAAACUGCAUAUCUUGAGAAGAGUAGAGGUAAGUGGAAUUUUUAGUGUAGCGGUGAAAUGCGUAGAUAUUAAAAAGAAUACCGGUGGCGAAGGCGACUUACUGGGCUCAUUCUGACGCUGAGGAACAAAAGCGUGGGUAGCACAAAGG
rnacentral:rRNA from 1 species